rnacentral:rRNA from 1 species
GUGGGGAAUAUUCCGCAAUGGACGAAAGUCUGACGGAGCAACGCCGCGUGAGUGAUGAAGGUUUUCGGACUGUAAAGCUCUGUUGUUUGGGACGAAAGUGCCUGUUGCGAACAGUUACGGGUAUUGACGGUACUAAACGAGGAAGCCACGGCUAACUACGUGCCAGCAGCCGCGGUAAUACGUAGGUGGCAAGCGUUGUCCGGAAUUAUUGGGCGUAAAGAGCAUGUAGGCGGGAAUCUAAGUCUGUUGUUAAAAUGCGGGGCUCAACCCCGUAUGGCGAUGGAAACUGGGUUUCUUGAGUGCAGGAGAGGAAAGGGGAAUUCCCAGUGUAGCGGUGAAAUGCGUAGAUAUUGGGAGGAACACCAGUGGCGAAGGCGCCUUUCUGGACUGUGUCUGACGCUGAGAUGCGAAAGCCAGGGUAGCGAACGGGAUUAGAAACCCGUGUAGUCC